GGCCGCUUAGCUCAGUUGGUUAGAGCGUGGGUCUAAUAAGCCCAAGGUCACCGGUUCAAGCCCGGUAGUGGCCA
rfam:Coccomyxa subellipsoidea C-169, whole genome shotgun sequence.